rnacentral:rRNA from 1 species
UACGGAGGGUGCAAGCGUUAAUCGGAAUUACUGGGCGUAAAGCGUGCGCGGGCGGUUUGUUAAGUCCGUUGUGAAAGCCCCGAGCUCAACUUGGGAAUUGCAGUGGAUACUGGCAGGCUGGAGUACGGUAGAGGAAGGUGGAAUUCCCGGUGUAGCAGUGAAAUGCGUAGAGAUCGGGAGGAACACCAGUGGCGAAGGCGGCCUUCUGGACCAGUACUGACGCUCAUGCACGAAAGCGUGGGGAGCAAACAGG